rnacentral:misc_RNA from 1 species
GAUGAAGAACGCAGCGAAAUGCGAUAAGUAAUGUGAAUUGCAGAAUUCAGUGAAUCAUCGAAUCUUUGAACGCACAUUGCGCCCCCUGGUAUUCCGGGGGGCAUGCCUGUUCGAGCGUCAUUUCACCACUCAAGCCUCGCUUGGUAUUGGGCAACGCGGUCCGCCGCGUGCCUCAAAUCGACCGGCUGGGUCUUCUGUCCCCUAAGCGUUGUGGAAACUAUUCGCUAAAGGGUGUUCGGGAGGCUACGCCGUAAAACAACCCCAUUUCUAAGGUUGACCUCGGAUCAGGUAGGGAUACCCGCUGAACUUAAGCAUACCAAUAAGCGGAGGA